rnacentral:rRNA from 1 species
AUGCCAGGACAAAGGAAAAAGAACAAUGACAGGAGGAGAGAAGAGGGUGAAGCACCAAAGGGUAAGAAAUUGAGCAAGCAUGGCAUUCAGAUAACUUGUGGAUCUUGUGGAGGUAAGGGACACAAUAAAACUUCUUGUUCUAAAAAUGGAGAUAGUACCAAAAAAACAAAGUCACAUCUUGGAAAGAGAGGGAGAAAACAGAGAGCCACAGAGCAAGCACAAACAGAUGCAUCAACACGCAGGGCUACAACAUCUAGUUUUCAAGCUGCUGGAUCAAGCUCUCAAGCUACAGCAUCGAGCUUCAGACCACCCAGAGUGACUACAAGUUCAGCUGGCAGAGGGAGAGGGAGAGGAGCUGGGAGAGGGACAUCAUCUGGGAGAGGGACAGCAGCUGGGAGAGGGACAGGAGCUGGAAGAGGGACUGGAUCAGCUUCUGGAUUCAUGCCCUUUUUCACAGCUAGUGGGAAUUACUAG